GCGAAAGUGGCGGAACUGGUAGACGCACCAGAUUUAGGUUCUGGCGGGUAAUCCCCGUGCGGGUUCGAGUCCCGCCUUUCGCACCA
rnacentral:tRNA from 1 species